CCUACGGGAGGCAGCAGUGGGGGAUAUUGCACAAUGGAGGAAACUCUGAUGCAGCGACGCCGCGUGAGUGAAGACGCCUUUCGGGUCGUAAAGCUCUGUCCUAGGGGAAGAUAAUGACGGUACCCUAGGAGGAAGCCCCGGCUAACUACGUGCCAGCAGCCGCGGUAA
rnacentral:rRNA from 1 species